rnacentral:misc_RNA from 1 species
GAUGAAGAACGUAGCAAAAUGCGAUAAGUAAUGUGAAUUGCAGAAUUCAGUGAAUCAUCGAAUCUUUGAACGCACAUUGCGCCCGCCAGUAUUCUGGCGGGCAUGCCUGUUCGAGCGUCAUUUCAACCCUCAAGCCCCCGGGUUUGGUGUUGGGGAUCGGGCUGUACUCCAGCCCGGCCCCGAAAUCUAGUGGCGGUCUCGCUGCAGCCUCCAUUGCGUAGUAGCUAACACCUCGCAACUGGAACGCGGCGCGGCCAAGCCGUUAAACCCCCAACUUCUGAAUGUUGACCUCGGAUCAGGUAGGGAUACCCGCUGAACUUAAGCAUAUCAAUAAGCGGAGGA